rnacentral:rRNA from 1 species
CCCUAUGGGGUAAGGUGCUCUACAACUGCUCUCUAAACCCACUGGGGGCCAUCUUGGAGGUUCCCUAUGGCCGGCUUGGAGAGAAUGAGGAGACGAGGAAGAUCAUCCGGGGUAUCAUAGAAGAGAUCUUCCUGGUCUGCCGGGCCCUGAAGGUCUCCCUUCCUUACAAAGGAGCAGAUGAUUACUACCGCUUUCUAUUGGAGACCCAGCUCCCACCCACCCGGGAUCACCGCGCCAGCAUGCUGCAGGACAUCCUGGCCAAGAGAAAGACGGAGAUCGAGGCCCUGAACGGGGCAAUCUCCCGCUUAGCCCGUGAGAAUGAGAUCCCAACACCCUACAAUGACCUUCUCACCCUGCUCAUUAAGUUCAAGGAGAAGAGGGAGAGC